rnacentral:rRNA from 1 species
CAGCAGCCACGGGAAAACGGAGGGUGCAAGCGUUAUCCGGAUUUAUUGGGUUUAAAGGGUCCGUAGGCGGAUCUGUAAGUCAGUGGUGAAAUCUCACAGCUUAACUGUGAAACUGCCAUUGAUACUGCAGGUCUUGAGUAAAUUUGAAGUGGCUGGAAUAAGUAGUGUAGCGGUGAAAUGCAUAGAUAUUACUUAGAACACCAAUUGCGAAGGCAGGUCACUAAGAUUUAACUGACGCUGAUGGACGAAAGCGUGGGGAGCGAACAGGAUUAGAUACCCCUGUAGUCCCUGUCUCUUAUAC